rnacentral:rRNA from 1 species
UACAUGGGGUGCAAACGUUGCUCGGAAUUAUUGGGCGUAAAGCGCGCGUAGGCGGUUACUUAAGUCGGAUGUGAAAGCCCUCGGCUUAACUGAGGAAGUGCACCCGAAACUGAGUAGCUAGAGUACGAAAGAGGGUCGCGGAAUUCCCGGUGUAGAGGUGAAAUGCGUAGAGAUCGGCAGGAACACCCAGGGGGAAACCAGUCGACUGGGCAGCACCUGACGCUGAGGUGCGAGAGCGUGGGGAGCGAACCGG